GAUGAACGCUGGCGGCGUGCCUAAUAUAUGCAAGUCGAACGCGCAGCGAAAGGUGCUUGCACCUUUCAAGCGAGUGGCGAACGGGUGAGUAACACGUGGAUAACCUGCCUCAAGGCUGGGGAUAACAUUUGGAAACAGAUGCUAAUACCGAAUAAAACUUAGUAUCGCAUGAUACAAAGUUGAAAGGCGCUACGGCGUCUCCUAGAGAUGGGUCCGCGGUGCAUUAGUUAGUUGGUGGGGUAAAGGCCUACCAAGACAAUGAUGCAUAGCCGAGUUGAGAGACUGAUCGGCCACAUUGGGACUGAGACACGGCCCAAACUCCUACGGGAGGCUGCAGUAGGGAAUCUUCCACAAUGGGCGAAAGCCUGAUGGAGCAACGCCGCGUGUGUGAUGAAGGCUUUAGGGUCGUAAAGCACUGUUGUAUGGGAAGAAAUGCUAGAAUAGGGAAUGAUUCUAGUUCGACGGUACCAUACCAGAAAGGGACGGCUAAAUACGUGCCAGCCGCCGCAGUAA
rnacentral:rRNA from 1 species